ACAGGUGCAUGUUCAUUAAUUGUUUAUGGUUCAUUGAACCAGCAUGGGAAACAGUGUUUAAACCCUUUACAAUGAACAUGUGUUUAGUUAUUUGUCUUUUUACACAUUUUCUUUGAAAGACAGGGUCCUGAAGAAGGGACGAGUUUACAGCUAGUAGAACCAAUGGAUGUGCCUGAGACUCAUCACCUCUCAAAUGGGUCAGCUGGUUCAACCUGGAAGAGCAGGUGUGUCCAGAAGAGCCCAGCUUGAACACCUGACUUAAAUAAUCAACAUACCGAAUCACGGCGAUAGGCUAUGCUUUGAUAUACAAUGCUCCACUCUCAAGUUGAAGUUGUUGACUGAUGCCAUGGUGGCGGCUGCUAAGAAGGGCACAGCUGAGAACCAGAAGGCAGCACUGGUCUACACCUGCCCUGUCUGUCAUACACGAUGACCACGAUUUGACUGCUGCAACUGAGAUGGAAUGACAUCGAAGGACACACGUGGAGACCCCGAGUAUGACUGGACAUGGGACGGAUAUUUGUGACAACGACCUAAAAAGGGAUGCAGAAGCCCACCAGCACCCCAUUUUAAAUGUUUAUACCAUAGCCAACCAUCUCUAGCCAACCCUUAUUCCAUACUAUUCCUUUUAUGGUCCCUCAACUUCAGACACUUUGAAACUCUCCAUCUUACCUCUAAAAACCCACCCUACCAUAACUCAUUUUCCAUUUGCUGCUUUGUUCACUUGUUCUUCUCCUGUGUUGAUAAUAUCUACACUCAGUAACACCUUGAAAAGAGUUGUGGUGUACUGUUUUUACAACUUCAUUAUUUUAUUUUUUUCCCCCUUCACCUGUGUAAUGCUGUCCUUCUGUUUAUUCUGGGAUUCAGACUGAAUGCAGUGAUAAAUGUGCUGCUCACAUUUGACAGCAGCAAAAUAGACCUGUGUUGGUAAACUGUUGAGAUACAGUGCAUUCAGAAAAUACUCACCUUGAAUUUUUCCAUGUUGUUACGUUACAGCCUUAUUCUAAAAUGG